UCAUAUCCUGACAUCGAUCGACAGCGAAGCACAGAAAACCCGUUUGGUCACAGCCGACUUGAAGCCCAAGUCUUCACCAAUUUACAAUAGAUUGAUGAGUUGUGAUAAUUAUCAUUAGGAUUGUCAUUAAUGCCUGAUUCUAGAUUAGCUACCUAGAACUUGCCCUAGGAUUGUUAGAUAAAAGCGAUAGCUUCAUUCUCAUCCUGAAACCAUUCUAACUGAGCUAAGUUUCUUGCUAAGGGUAAGGCGAGAGGUGAUCUAGUGAUCUUAGUAAGCAUCAUCCAACCUGCGCAUAAAGCU
rnacentral:lncRNA from 1 species